rnacentral:lncRNA from 1 species
GAGAGAAAACUGAUAGGUGCUGCCGCUGCUGAGAUUGAAAGUUGUCGACAAGUUCAUAGCUAUGUGUAAUAAUGGCCACCAAACAGCUUCAUAGUUGUGGGUAAUAAUGGCCAUCGAUAAGGUUCACUCCAAUAGCAAAACAACACAUCGGAAGACAAAAACCGAAUUUAAGCGUAUUUGGAUUGUACGUACUGAAACACAGAUAAAAUUCAAAAAAAAAUCACCGAAAUCCAAUUUCGGAUUCUAUGUACCAAAAUCGUUUAUGUUUGGCUUCUAUGUACCGAAAUCGUUUUCAAC